ACAUGUGACUGUAAUAAUGCUGC
rnacentral:piRNA from 1 species